AGAGUUUGAUCCUGGCUCAGAUUGAACGCUGGCGGCAUGCCUUACACAUGCAAGUCGAACGGCAGCACGGAGCUUGCUCUGGUGGCGAGUGGCGAACGGGUGAGUAAUAUAUCGGAACGUACCCUAGAGUGGGGGAUAACGUAGCGAAAGUUACGCUAAUACCGCAUACGAUCUAAGGAUGAAAGUGGGGGAUCGCAAGACCUCAUGCUCGUGGAGCGGCCGAUAUCUGAUUAGCUAGUUGGUAGGGUAAAAGCCUACCAAGGCAUCGAUCAGUAGCUGGUCUGAGAGGACGACCAGCCACACUGGAACUGAGACACGGUCCAGACUCCUACGGGAGGCAGCAGUGGGGAAUUUUGGACAAUGGGCGAAAGCCUGAUCCAGCAAUGCCGCGUGAGUGAAGAAGGCCUUCGGGUUGUAAAGCUCUUUUGUCAGGGAAGAAACGGUGAGAGCUAAUAUCUUUUGCUAAUGACGGUACCUGAAGAAUAAGCACCGGCUAACUACGUGCCAGCAGCCGCGGUAAUACGUAGGGUGCAAGCGUUAAUCGGAAUUACUGGGCGUAAAGCGUGCGCAGGCGGUUUUGUAAGUCUGAUGUGAAAUCCCCGGGCUCAACCUGGGAAUUGCAUUGGAGACUGCAAGGCUAGAAUCUGGCAGAGGGGGGUAGAAUUCCACGUGUAGCAGUGAAAUGCGUAGAUAUGUGGAGGAACACCGAUGGCGAAGGCAGCCCCCUGGGUCAAGAUUGACGCUCAUGCACGAAAGCGUGGGGAGCAAACAGGAUUAGAUACCCUGGUAGUCCACGCCCUAAACGAUGUCUACUAGUUGUCGGGUCUUAAUUGACUUGGUAACGCAGCUAACGCGUGAAGUAGACCGCCUGGGGAGUACGGUCGCAAGAUUAAAACUCAAAGGAAUUGACGGGGACCCGCACAAGCGGUGGAUGAUGUGGAUUAAUUCGAUGCAACGCGAAAAACCUUACCUACCCUUGACAUGGCUGGAAUCC
rnacentral:rRNA from 1 species